CGUAGGGUGCGUGCGUUAAUCGGAAUUACUGGGCGUAAAGCGUGCGCAGGCGGUUUGUUAAGAUAGGCGUGAAAUCCCCGGGCUCAACCUGGGAACUGCGCUUAUGACUGGCAAGCUAGAGUACGGCAGAGGGGGGUGGAAUUCCACGUGUAGCAGUGAAAUGCGUAGAGAUGUGGAGGAACACCAAUGGCGAAGGCAGCCCCCUGGGUCGAUACUGACGCUCAUGCACGAAAGCGUGGGUAGCAAACAGGAUUAGAUACCCUGGUAGUCCACGCCCUAAACGAUGUCAACUAGGUGUUGGAUGGGUAAAACCAUUUAGUACCGGAGCUAACGCGUGAAGUUGACCGCCUGGGGAGUACGGCCGCAAGGUUA
rnacentral:rRNA from 1 species